UAUGCGGAUCAUUCUACUGAGAAGCAUGCAGCUAGAGAUAGUUUGUAUCAGAGCACAUUGAUGGUCCAACCAAUGGUGCAGAUGUCCAUAUUGAUGAGAUAACAUUUUCUUCUGGGAAAUCACCUUUGCGAGGUGGUUAUAAUUUUGAAGAGAAGGCUUCUGGAGCUGGUGGACUGGGACACGCUACUCCAGAGUUUUCAACAGUGGAGCUAGUGAAGAAGCUUGAGAAACAAAUUAAACGUCUCUAACAGCAACCACAGUUUUUAAUAGAGGAGCUAGUGAAGGAGCUUCCUAAACAAAUAGAAAAAUUCAAACAGCAUCAACUGGAGCAUGAGGACGGAGUUAAGCAAUAGGGCAAAUGACAUGGCAAUGAUCCGCAAAGGUAUUAUAG